GGUCUCCCUGGAGGAGGGAGACAAAUCACAAGUUUAAAUCACUUGGGCUCACCCACAAAAAAAGGAGGCCCCCCCCCCCAGGAAGAAACACUGAUCUGCUUAAGGCAGUAACACCAGGACUAUAACCCAGACGUCUUCCUGAGAAACAAGUUUUUACAUGGCUGGCUCUUCAAAUGUCACCAUCACAAAGAGGCCUGACUCCUCAAUCUACUGUCUGCUCCUCUCCUGCAGUUCCUCACCAUGCUACCUUCAGUACGUCAACCAGCUCCUCCCGACUGAGGCUCUCUGGCCGCAGCAGCCCAGGGAAAGGCUGGUUCCCCACGGGUCGGAACCAUUUGCUGGAGCCUCGAGGUUGCAGCUGAUGCCUGGAAAAGGUAGGCAUAGGGCCAGGCACACAGUGAGUGCUCAGUAAAUAAUAAAUGAAGCAAUCGGGGAGGAGUAGAAUCUGUCAGAAGAAGCUGGCAAGAGGCCGUGCUCUGCUGCUCCCCAGCUUUGCGGCUUUGGACUAGUUGGAUGCCUCUGCCUCAGUGUCUACAUCCACCUAAUGAGGUAAGAAUUGUCUAGACCCCACUGGAGCAGCUGGGUUUGGAAACACUACCAUAAUAAUACUUGUCUGAUGAUUUAGCAUAUUCGCAUGCUUCCUGUGAUGCUCAAAAGUAAAAUAAAAAGUUUUUUUUAAAGUUCAUUAGACAAUACAAAUGACUAUUGUCCAUAGAUAUGCAAAUUAAUUCUGUUCUAUGGAAGGACAAUCAUUGCAACCCUCCCGCCCUCGUGGAAAAAUCCAAUUUUGUAUUUAUAAGUUUAUCUCAGCAUUCCUUUUUUUAAAAUUGAAGUAUAGUUGAUUUACAGUGUUGUGUAUCUCAGAAUUCUUGAUGGAUCUAUAUGUAGGUGAGGCUUUUUUUUUGGUUUUUAUUUUCUUUAAUUGAAGUAUAGUCAGUUUACAAUGUUGUGUUAAUUUUUGGUGUACAGCACAGUGAUUCAGUUAUACUUCAUAUAUCUAUAUCUACAUA